AAAAAUAAAUACAUAAAACAUAAUAAUUACAGGUCUAGUUUAUCACAUUACAUCAACUUUCACUACGAACAUGAUCCUACAAGAGAUUCAGUGUGAAGCCCAGUUUACACUGCCAGUGACACGCAGUGUCGAAAUGACAUGAUCCCAUUCAUUUCAAUAGAGAGCUGGCAUUUUCUGGUGACAUGAGCGCCAGUGACUGUUGGCGACAGGAUGUAGCUGUGUCCAGCGUCCUGUAGUGGAGCAUGUCACUACGUGCUGUAGUGGAGCGUGUCAGCGGCAAGAUAGAGAAUUUAUGUUAGCGUUCAGCAACUUUCCUACAAUUUAUGAUAGUCUCUGUGUUCAUAUAGUGGUACUCGCUGUUUCAUGAACCCAGAUAGACCUGCACUCACUACUCGUAUACUGAAUCCAUUUAUAUUUAGUCUUUUCCCACUAAAAUGUUUGUUUUUAGCUGCAAGAAAUCUGAUUCUGUGUCUACAACAUGGAAUAACAUCCAUGAAUGUCAUUCAUAAACUAUACUAGGCAAACAGUAGUGGGAACACCCACUAGCGACCUCACCGCCAGCCACUGGCGACAUGCAGCCAGAGAUGGUCUCAUUGUUGGGAGAUAUGAGGGUCCAUGGCUCUACCAUUGGAAAAAGCGUGACGGCUUAUUUGGAUCACGUGUGCCUUGAUAACCAAUCACAUUACAGCCUUGACGUCAAUGAAUUUCACUGAGAGUUGUGUGCGACAGUCAAUCACUGUUUGCGGAUACCAUAGAAAUAAAUGAGAAAUGUAGUAAGUGCCUCUUGUCUCCUUCCCUGUGUACCGCAGUGUUAGCAGGCAUUACACACAACAUGAUUUUCAAAGUCGUCGGAUUGCUGUUUUUCUCGCAACAGUGGGACACACAUUAUACAACAUUUCAGUAGGAAGAAUCACAGACAACUCUGGUCUACUAACUACAUGGGGCACCACCAUAUCUUUCAGAUUUAUUACAACCUUACCAUCCAGAUCACUUAGGUCCGCUGACCAGAAACUUUUGACUGUUCCUAGGGCGACACGUAAAUUAUGGGGCGAUCAUGCUUUUUCAGUGAUGGCUCCGAGACUCUGGAACAGUUUGCCGUUAAAUAUUAGAACAGCUUCCACACUGGGGUCUUUCAAAUCUAUUUUGAAAACUCAUCUUUUUUCCCUGGCUUUUUUGUAGGUUUUUAUUUAGUGAUAUUUUAUCAUUUAAUGUUGUGAGGUCAGAUGUUGUGCUGUAUAAUAUUGGUGUGUAAUGUAUGUUUUUUGUUGUUUGUACAUGUUUAAAAGGUGUACAGCACAUUAGUCAACUAACUGUGCUUUACAAAUAAAUUGCCUUGCCUUGCCCUGCCUUGCCUUGCACAACCUAACACAAACAAGAAGUGAUACAGGAAAUAAUGUGAGAGAGGAGUUCUUGUGCAAGACUGCAUGAUAGCAUCCCUGAUUAUACACACUAAGUGAAUAUCUCUCACAUUGCCUCUGAUUUUGGACAUUUGUCAGUGAUUUCCACAAAACUGUCGCAAAAGAAAGAAAGUCAGGUUCGGAACGACAUGAGGACGCUGGUCAAAAUGAAAAGACCAGCUGCGAACAGGACAAAUUUUUUCAGAUGGCAUCUCAUCACCCACCUCCUUCUCUCUCCUGUCCCCAUGUUGAGAGAAAUCGGGAGUAAGAAUGACAGCAGCUGAAAGGUUUGUAGCAUAUAGAGCUAGAAAUAUGACAAUACGAUUUGAAUUUGAAUUGUGUAAAUUUCAAUUAUAGACUUUUUGUCACCUGGGCUGGGCUUGAUUGUUUGUUUUUUAACAAAAAAGUUAUAUUUUUGGCAAACGUAUAGCAUUACUUUUCAUAAAAAGUAAUUAAGUAAUGCAAUUAGUUACUUUUUAAGGGAGCAACACAAUAUUCUAAUGCAUUACUUUUAAAAGUAACUUUCGCCACCCCUGGUUUACUGCUACAUCUGUGGUUGUUUUACUUCAUCCAAACAGUGUCAGAAAAUUACAGAUUGUGAAAAAUAAUUUAUAAACUAUGUUUAUGUAAAGUUUUUUGACAUUAAAUGGCAUAUUUGAACAUAUUUUUACACUCUUUUGCAGAUUGUAAGGUAAAUGAUCCAUUUUAAAUACUUCUUUUUGCCAUUAAAAUCCGCUUUUGUUAUUUUGAUAACUGCAUUAUAAAGCUAAUACCUAUACAUAAUUUGAAAAAUCUUCAUUCACAUUUUGUGAAGUAAAAACUGUAUUUGAUGUAAAGUUUUUAUUGAUAAGUUUUUAUCAGCAUUGUCGAAUUAUUUAGGGCUGUGUUACAUUGCAUAUCAGCAAACAGUGUUUGGAGUCAAUAAUUUCUGAUUUCAAAUGUAUUCUAAGAAUAGUAUCCAGAAUUCUGUGGUUCUUGUUUUGUGGAUCUGAACCGUUUCCUGUUCAAUAAUGAACUGUGCUGAGGAACAACACAUAUUCAUAUUCAGAAUAGCUUAAUCUUACAUCCAAUCUUUCUUCUGUCAUUCUUAAGCCAGAAAACCUGCUAACUUCCCCAUGACACAACAAGAACGUUUACAUGGAAAACUAUAAUGAAAAAAAGUCUUCCUCCAUUGAAAGUGCUUUACUGUAAACAUGAUUUUGUGGUUUUUUUUUUUUUUAUACAAACAUUGAGUAUUUCAGGUUUGUUUUCAUUGAUUCAUUGUUCUACAUAUACUUUAUUACAAGUUUAUUACAAGGUAAUUUAAACUAUAAAAGUUGAAAAACUGACAUUGUUUUUAAUGACUCAUUCAUAUGUACUCCAUAAACAGCUUAUUUUAGUUUGUAAACCCUAAUUUACAGUACCAUGGUUCUAAAAGCAAACGUAUAUAUACUGUGUAUAAAACAAGCCUAAAAAGUGAUACAGAACUGGUUGUUUUGUAAAGGAAUCCUUAAAUGUUUAGUAGAAAAAGGAUUUGCCAUUAUGUAUUAUAACUGCUGUGUUUACUGAUACAUUUUUGAAACAUUUUGAAACAGGCCUUUCUUUAAACCAUGACUUGACUGUUUCCUUGUGAGAAAAGGUGAACUUUGCCUCCACACAUUUACUAUGAUGUAUUAGAAACUUAUUGCACUGGGUGAAAGCACGCCUGGUUACCGAGACACAUAAUUUGUUGCUUAUUCUGACAGCUCAAAGCAAAUAGAAAAUGAAGAGAGUAAACCAGGCAAACAGGUUUUAGAUAGAUAAUAGAUAAUGUAUGUGUUGGUCUGCGCUCAAUGACACUGCGCACCUUAAAACUACAUUUACAAUUCAAACAAGCUAGGGUAUUGUUUUGCUUAUAAGCCUCUAUCCGGUUUUACAGGGCACAGGUGAGCCUAACCUGACCAUCCUUAGGAAAUGUAGCCUACAUAUUAAAAGUUAACCAAAAGAUAUUGAUACACACACACACAUAUACAUACAUAUAUAAUAUACACACACACACACACACACAUAUAUAUAUAUAUAUAAACAAUCUAUCAUUUCAUAUAGGGUUGAUUCUGUCUUGUUCUUAUCUACAAAGAAAAUGACAGAAUAUUUAAUUCGUAGUAAAUAUCCGAUGUUAAAAUAAAGCAUUCGAAAUCUGGAACGCACCCAAUUCCCAUAUUUUCCAUUCGAACGUUCUAAACGCACCUAUGAUGCCAAAAAAAAAAUCAAUUCGAAAGUUCGAAAAUGCCUGUAUUACCAAAAUAUUGACUUGAUAAGCAGUGUAGGUUUUGACACACAGUUCAAACAAAUGUUUU